rnacentral:rRNA from 1 species
CAGUAGCCGCGGUAAUACGUAGGUGGCAAGCGUUGUCCGGAAUUAUUGGGCGUAAAGGGCUCGCAGGCGGUUUCUUAAGUCUGAUGUGAAAGCCCCCGGCUCAACCGGGGAGGGUCAUUGGAAACUGGGAAACUUGAGUACAGAAGAGGAGAGUGGAAUUCCACGUGUAGCGGUGAAAUGCGUAGAGAUGUGGAGGAACACCAGUGGCGAAGGCGACUCUCUGGUCUGUAACUGACGCUGAGGAGCGAAAGCGUGGGGAGCGAACAGGAUUAGAUACCCCUGUAGUCCCUGUCUCUUAUAC